AAAAAAAAAAAACUUGUAUGAGAUGUUAAAGUUGAUAGACCACAGUCAUCCUUUGGAAUGGUCAUCAUUUGUAAGGACUUCCACUUUUCUGCUUCCUAGUUGAACCAUCCUUGCCAUGUUAGUAAACUGAAGGCCAUUAGAGAAGUGAUAUCAAACAAAGCUAAUAUUAGUUAGGUGUGAUAAGUUGUUGGUGGAAGGAGUGAGAAGGGAAA
rnacentral:misc_RNA from 1 species